GGACUACAGGGGUUUCUAAUCCCGUUCGCUACCCACGCUUUCGUGCUUGAGUGUCAGGAAAGUGCCAGUGAAUUGCCUUCGCUUUCGGUGUUCCCCAUGAUAUCAACGGAUUUCACCCCUACACCAUGAGUUCCAUUCACCUCUCACUCCCUCGAGUCGUACCGUUUCGCCCGCCGAUCCAGGGUUGAGCCCUGGUUUUUAACAGACGACUAAUACGACCACCUACGCACUCUUUACGCCCAGUAAUUCCGGGUAACGCUCGGGGCCUCUGUAUUACCGCGGCUGCUGGCAC
rnacentral:rRNA from 1 species